AUAAACGCUGGCGGCGUGCUUCAGGCAUGCAAGUCGAACGGUUCUUCCGGUUCGCCGGAAGGAUAGUGGCGGACGGGUGAGUAACACGUAAGCAACCUGCCCAGAAGUGGGGAAUAACCCGCCGAAAGGCGAGCUAAUACCGCAUGUGAUGGUUUUUCCCUGGAGAACCCAUUAAAGGCGAAAGUCGCUUCUGGAGGGGCUUGCGGCCGAUUAGCUAGUUGGUGGGGUAACGGCCUACCAAGGCGACGAUCGGUAGCUGGUCUGAGAGGACGGUCAGCCACACGGGGACUGAGAUACGGCCCCGACUCCUACGGGAGGCAGCAGCUAGGAAUCUUGGGAAUGGGCGAAAGCCUGACCCAGCAACGCCGCGUGGGCGAUGAAGGCCUUCGGGUUGUAAAGCCCUUUUGCAGGGGACGAUGAUGACGGUACCCUGCGAAUAAGCCACGGCUAACUACGU
rnacentral:rRNA from 1 species